rnacentral:lncRNA from 1 species
AUGAAAACUAACAUUUUGCGUGGAAUAUAUAUGGCUAAUUAACAUUUUCUUUAUUUCAGCCCUGAAGAAGUGAAUAAUCAUUCACGAAAACGUUAGGCCGUACAAUUGAUAUGCAUUGAGUUUUGGUUUGCAGAUUUCCCCAAUAUUCAAAACUUUACUGUUUAACUUAUCUGCAAAGAUUAAUCUUUCUUUAUUUUAUAGGAACAUGGGGUUUUACAACACAAUAAGGGUAGAGUAUGGUGAACAAUCGGUGAGGUUUCUCAAGGAUUAUAAUUCAUUGAUUGUAACCAUAUAGCCAUAGUUUUCCAAGUUGAAGUGUUGUGUUUUCUUUUUACUUCAAACAAAAAGAGAUAUGUUUUUAUACAUAUCGUCUUUUUUAUUACUUAACAACGUAACUCUACAAUUCUACGUAUUGCCCUGAAGAAGUGAAUAAUCAUUCACGAAAACGUUAGGCCGUACAAUUGAUACGCAUUGAGUUUUGGUUUGCAGAUUUCCCCAA